ACCUUGUUGCCCGAAAGUCUCUCCACUUUGCUUAAUUCAACAUAGUUACAAUAGCUACUGAAUUACUGUAGCAAGCUAUCCCGACUAAUGUGCAAUACUCUAAGAUGGUUAGCGUUCUGCUUUAUGUAAUGUAGGUUCAAAGAUUGUUGGAAUGCAGCUUUUAGCACUACCAAAGGACUCGUGACUCAAGUUUGGACUCGAGGACUAGGGACUUUACUGGGACUCAUGGUUUAGCGACUAGACUACAUCGCUGCAGGGAAGAGAGCUGUUUUGCUUAUACCUAGCACUUCUAAAUGUCGGUCAAACAUGAAAUUCAUGGAAAAUAUUGUGUAUUGUGUUGACUAAUUAUGUGGACUGAGGAAGGGGAGGACAUGUUGCCACUUUGUGACAGAUGUUUACACAACAUUGUGGUGCCAUGUAACUUUUCUAGUUCCAGAGCUGUAUGGCAUGUAGUAAAAGGUUAUCCAAGUCCUCAGGCUGCAGUAUCUGCCAGUUAUCAUCCUUGCCUUCAGGGACUGAGUUCAUUGGUGGGACAGGAAUUUACAUUCUCUACCUAAAUAAGGAGCCAAUUGAUCAAUUAACUCAGAAGCAAGAAUUUGGUUGGUAUUUGUUGUAGGACUAAUGUUGAAAAAAAUAUUUUUGAUUCACUUUUACUUUACAAUUGAAAAACAGGCUAAAGACUGAAUGCUUGUUGAUUUAGAAAGUGACAUAACAUAGUGAUGGUUUCUGAGGGCUCUAUGCACCCUCAGUCCAGAGGAGGUUUUAGUUAGUGUGCCUAUGUUAUGAGGAAGCACCUGUUCCCUCAGUGUGGUGAAUGACAUGGCUGGUUUCCUGUCUGUUACCUCUCAUUACAUAAAUAAUAUCCAGUGUGGAUACGCUCUACCACAAGACCAAAAUGUUCCCACUAUGUCUGUUAUUUUAGUUGAAUCAUCAUUAAUUUGUAUGUUAAUCUAUGUUUUUGUCCAUCCAUACAUCAACUCAUAUCAACAUCAGUUUUAUGACGAGCGAUAUGACACUGUAAACGAUAAUGGCAAAUGUAGGUACCAGUGUUCAACACAUGAUUAAAGACCUAGACCUUUCAUUGCUACCUCUUAUCAUCAAGAUAACUUAGCAGAUUUUAGGCAAAUAUUUUCAGACUGCAUAUGUAUAGCUCAGCUAAGAAAAGGGCCAACCCUUUGUUAUUUUGAUAUUAUCGUUGUAGGUGUCUUGUCACAUGAUAUAACUAAAGAAAACAAAACAUGUUUUUUUAUGUAUGACUAUAGCAUUAGGUCUGUGUUGCGCAAAGUUGGAUAUCAGUAUUAGAUAUAAGGUAUCACUGCACUAACUCUGCACUAAAUCUAUUUGGAUUGGGGCAGGUAUUGUCGUAUAAGCAGUUAAUUGUCACAGAGUCUGCUGAGGUUUCAGUAAGUAUGUGCUGCCAUGACCAGCACUUGGGCUGAGGUUUUUGUAGUGGUGUGUAUCACUGUGGCUGCCCCCAUACACAGUGACACACACCAUUACAAAAACUCACGUCAAAUGCUCCCACAGUAAGGCUAAUGUAUUCAUGUGAAACAUGUUAUUCAUUUGCAGUCAAAAUCGACAUUUGUCAAAACGUCUAUAUGUGACGAAUAAUUCUACUUUAAAAAUGUCAAUAUGUUACUUUUUAAGUCCAGCCAAUUCAAUGUUCUUCCAAAUAUGAUGAAAAAAGCUAGUUCAAAGUUAUUAACAUGAUAUUUAUGUGAGAACGUUUAAUUGCAGACAGAAUUCAAUGGUUGCUCCAAAUAUGACAUAAAAAGGAAAAGCAUGAGACCAGCUAGUUUAAGAUUAUAGAUUGUUUCAUUUUGUUAGGUAUGCGUAACUGGCUAUAAGGGAGUCAGGUGCAGGAGAACAGCUAGUUUAAGAUUAUAGAUUGUUUCAUUUUGUUAGGUAUGCGUAACUGGCUAUAAGGGAGUCAGGUGCAGGAGAACAGCUAGUUUAAGAUUAUAGAUUGUUUCAUUUUGUUAGGUAUGCGUAACUGGCUAUAAGGGAGUCAGGUGCAGGAGAACAGCUAGUUUAAGAUUAUAGAUUGUUUCAUUUUGUUAGGUAUGCGUAACUGGCUAUAAGGGAGUCAGGUGCAGGAGAACAGCUAGUUUAAGAUUAUAGAUUGUUUCAUUUUGUUAGGUAUGCGUAACUGGCUAUAAGGGAGUCAGGUGCAGGAGAACAGCUAGUUUAAGAUUAUAGAUUGUUUCAUUUUGUUAGGUAUGCGCAACUGGCUAUAAGGGAGUCAGGUGCAGGAGAACAGCUAGUUUAAGAUUAUAGAUUGUUUCAUUUAGUUAGAUAUGCGCAACUGGCUAUAAGGGAGUCAGGUGCAGGAGAACAGCUAGUUUAAGAUUAUAGAUUGUUUAAUUUUGUUAGGUAUGCGCAACUGGCUAUAAGGGAGUCAGGUGCAGGAGAACAGCUAGUUUAAGAUUAUAGAUUGUUUCAUUUUGUUAGGUAUGCGCAACUGGCUAUAAGGGAGUCAGGUGCAGGAGAGCAGCUAGUUUAAGAUUAUAGAUUGUUUCAUUGUGUUAGGUAUGCGUAACUGGCUAUAAGGGAGUCAGGUGCAGGAGAACAGCUAGUUUAAGAUUAGAGAUUGUUUCAUUUUGUUAGGUAUGCGUAACUGGCUAUAAGGGAGUCAGGUGCAGGAGAACAGCUAGUUUAAGAUUAUAGAUUGUUUCAUUUUGUUAGGUAUGCGUAACUGGCUGUAAGGGAGUCAGGUGCAGGAGAACAGCUAGUUUAAGAUUAUAGAUUGUUUCAUUUUGUUAGGUAUGCGUAACUGGCUAUAAGGGAGUCAGGUGCAGGAGAGUGUUGGUGUUUACAUACUGCAAAACAACGACGCUGGACAGAGUGGAAUCAGGUGUAUCAAAACGGCAGUUUAUUGGUCAAAGAUAUCUUGUCCUACAUCGUGCACGGACCUAAGCAAUAUGACUCUGUGAGGAGUCAGAAAAAUGAGGCUCUCUCGCCAGAGUUUACACCAGAAUGUAUACACAGAAUAAUGUAGGUGGAGUCUCGUCGUGUUGAUCUUCUGACUGGUCCUGAAGAGUUGGAGGCGGGCCCUGCUCUAGCCAGAGCAGGAGCCCCAUUGGUGCACAGCAAAGUCCUUUGCUCUUGGCACCCGACCAGUAGGGGGGGGGGGGGGGGUAGAGUGUGAGUGUACAGUGCUCAUGAAAUGUAUGUGUGUCAAGGAAGCGUGGAUUUUAGGGACUGGUAAUGUCUGCUUUAGGCUCAGGUGUUUCCUGUUUAUGCAGGAGUGCAUGCAAGGGUCAAUGUCAGUGAGAUAGCUUGGCACUUCUAAGCUCGUUAGUGUUGCAGGCUGUUCUUUGUAGUUACAGGGGAGUAUAUUUGCAUGAUGGCAGCUAUGUGUCCUUCGGAUAAUCAUGUUAUUGCACGUAGGCUCUAAACUUGACUGAGGACACUGGGUAGCCAAAGGAGCCUUAUAUUUCGGUGAACAAAACACACGGCACUAAGAACGCUAGACACAAUAUGGGUUGACAUAACCCAGCGCAGACCAGUCUAGUGUGCACAUACACGAAACAACAAACAAUGCCACACACAGACAAGGGGGAACAGAGGGUUAUAUACACAUCUAAUACUGAGGGAAUUGAAACCAGGUGUGUAGGAAAACAAGACAAGACAAAUGGAAAAAUGAAAGGUGGAUUGGCGAUGGCUAGAAAGCUGGUGAUGUCGACGGCCGAACGCCGCCCGAACAAGGAGAGGAACCGACUUUGGCGGAAGUCAUGACACAUUUUAAGAUUAAACAGUUGUAUUCAACAUAGCCCAUAGUCAUUAUAUCCAGAAUUCAUAUAAGGCGUAUUCAGAAUAUUCCAGUAUGAUCCGUCACUUAAUACAGCUUCUGGUGAGAUAACCACUUGUGCUGAGGUUUUUGUACUGGUGUAUAUCAUUGUGGCUCCCAGUGUACACACUGAUGCAUGCCAGUACAAAAACUCAUGCAACAUAGCGACUCCCUCAAUAAAACCAUUUGUUAUUUUAUCUCCAACAUUGACACCAUAGUUUUCCCCCAAUAAACUUUCAUUAACAAUCAACUUUAAAAAAUGUAUCAUAAUAGAAUUGGAAAUCAUGUUAAUGCAUCAACUGGUUUUCCACUUCAUACCAACUUUAUGUCCAAUUCUCAUCGAUAAAUGUGUCUUCCUAAUUAACAGAUGAUACAUAUGUUGGUAAAACAGAAGAAGAAUUUUAAAAAGCUAUGAAUAUAUCAAGCAUGGUGAACCAAAGGUAUGAGAAACACACAUUACGCUCUUCACCUAGUUUCUCCCCUAAUACACACUCUAAACCCAGCAUCAGUGUUAGAGAUGGGGUAGGGUUUUUGUCAUGGGCUGUAUCACUGUGGCCAUUAUUCUGCACUGUGAUACAUCCUUGUACAAUAACCCCUCUCCUGUCCAGACGGGGGAAUUUACAAUGUAGUUUGGGCAGUUGUGUGAGACAUCAGACAUCGAUGCCAUUUCUCUCAAUAUCAAAAGGAAGCAUCUGUUGUGUUUGGUACAACAUUGUUUCCCAACAAUUGAUUAUGAACAAUGUGGUUUCAACGCGUUUAUGGAGGAAACAUAAAAGCGUCUCAUCAAUCAUUGAUGUAGCCUAUCAAUUAACCUCAGAUGGAGUACUUGAGAUUGCUAUAUAUCAGUAGUUGACGAUAUAGAAUGUUUCUAAAUGAUGUUGCAGUAGAAGGAAUACUCUUUGGACUAAGGCAGUAUUUGAUAUGACUAUAAUAGGAGACUUGGUAUUUGAUUCCUCCUGUAAAUAAAGCUAUAUGUCUGGACAACGUGAUAACCAUGAUUGUUACAUCUGAAAUGUCAGGACUGACCACCUUUAAAGAGUGCUACUGUAUAUUUAUAUGGACAAGCGUUUCAGAAAAACAACAUGAUUGUCAUACAACAUUUUGGCUAAAAACAGCACAGUAGGAAUCAGUAUGAAAUAAGAAACAUAGGACACAAUAGUAGAAUAGCAACCAAUACUGGAAUGGAGAAAAUGAAGAUGAGAAUUUGACCAUUCAAAUUCAUAGCAGUGAAAUGCUCUCCCAUAUGGGUCCAGAGUGAAGACAAUGUUUACACAGUACAAUGCUGUCAACCCUCAUGUCCAUGGAGAGGUUUUUGUAUUGAUGUUUAUCACUGUGGCCACUCCUGUACACAGUGACUCACACCAUUACAAAAACCCAUGUCACAUAUAGCCACAGAAUCCUCCGUUAAACUCACUGAAACCUCCAAUGUCUCCAUGUGCACAAUGUCUUUUUCCAAUUCUGUGUCAUUUACAACAACCAUUGAAGUUCAAUUCAAGCUAAUUUUUUUGAUCACAUGAUUUACAGUGUACAUAAAAAUAGUUGUUCCUCAGUGUAUGUCGGUUUUAAAGUUUUUCUUGUCUGAAGUAGGCCUAAAGAGUAUGGACAUUUGUUUGAGUUGAUGUGUAUAAAUGUACCAGCACGUUCAGGUUAACUGCCUAUAUACAAUCAGAAUGUACAUGUCUGUGUUCCUUAGGUGUCAGCACUCUCACACUCUGUGCUUGGUAGUGUCGUGGAAAUUUCCUUAAUUACCAACUGAUGAGAGAGCAAAUCACACACGAGUCAGAGUUAUGCUUAAUCUUCACCUUUAAUAAUAAUUAAGCUUUUGCAAUAGCAUUUUGACUUUCAACAGUUCAGUAUCUCUAAUGAAAAGUUGAGAGUCCUCAACAUAAUGGCAAAUGGGUUCCUUUAUAGCAAAGAUCCACCCCCUCUCAGGUAGAGGUGGAAGCUUUUUGUCAUGGACUGUAUCAUUGUGACCCGCUAUAUGGCACAGUGGUUUAACCCUGUACAAACCCCCCACCACUCUGUGCAGGGCCAAAGCUGGAAUAAACAUGUGCAACUUUUCACAGCAACCACAACAUGAUCUAUUGGUUUUAAUCUGAUGAACAGAAUGUCAAAUUCUGUUUUACUACUUAUUAAUAUCUAUUUUAUUAGUUUGGGCUUUCAGCUUUUGCUCUGUCAGGCAUUUUGACCAUAACAAGGAUUAAAGAACUUUGCUGGGACAGUUUUAUAGACAGUGAUUAAGUACAUUUUUAGUUCUUAUUUAAAUGUUAAAAUACUGCUUUUUUAAUUUAAAAAAAAGAUAUUCUGUUGUCGGAAUCCAAUAGUUGGAGAAGCUGUUUAAAUGUUUAUCUUAUAUUUGUGUAUGAGAUGAAGUAGGUAGCCAUUUCCACUACAGUGGUUUUUGUUAUGGUUUGUAACACUGUGCCCCCGUUGUUAUCACGAUGACACACACCCAUACAAAAACCUCUCCACACACCAGAGACCAAUACAUCUAUCAGGUACCUGUCAUAUUUCCCUGGAGUCAUCACAAAUCUCUCUGAUUCAAUAAAUUAUCUUAUUUUUA